AGCAGUAGCCGCGGUAAUACGUAGGUCCCGAGCGUUGUCCGGAUUUAUUGGGCGUAAAGCGAGCGCAGGCGGUUAGAUAAGUCUGAAGUUAAAGGCUGUGGCUUAACCAUAGUACGCUUUGGAAACUGUUUAACUUGAGUGCAAGAGGGGAGAGUGGAAUUCCAUGUGUAGCGGUGAAAUGCGUAGAUAUAUGGAGGAACACCGGUGGCGAAAGCGGCUCUCUGGCUUGUAACUGACGCUGAGGCUCGAAAGCGUGGGGAGCAAACAGGAUUAGAGACCCGCGUAGUCCCUGUCUCUUAUACA
rnacentral:rRNA from 1 species